CGCCCGCUUGCUCUCCCAAUCCUUGACGGACUUCACACUCCAAAUUCGGCUUCUGGAGAAAUGAAGCCUCCUCCGAAGACUCUCGUCUCUCUCAAUAUGGCAUCUCCCCUCCUUCUCUCUAUUCGCUCCUCCAAUCAAACGAUCUUUUUUAGCUUACUCUGCUACCCUAACCUUAGAAGCGAAGACAGCGAGGCCUUCUCCCUCAAGCUCUCUAGUCAUACUUCAGCGGACCAUCACCGCUGUCGCCGACCAAUGGAAUGUGUGAUCCGCGGGACCGCCUCUAAUCUCCGUUUUAGAAUUCUCGUCCCAUUUUGCCAUUCCGAUGUCUCCAGGACCUCUCGAUUUGUCGUCUCCACUUAAAUCUAGGGUUUAUAUAUACUAUGUCUCUCUCACUCUGGCAUCUCCUCUCCUUCUCGCUCUCUAUUCUCUCUUUCAACCGAUUCAUCCUCCCUUCCCUCCUCCUCUCCUCUAACGUUAGAAGUGAAAGACGACAAUACUUUUUAGAGACUUCAGCGGACCAUCGCCGAUGCUGCCGAGCAAUCGAAAGUGUUUUCUGCCGUCUGCAACUUCUAUGUCAUAAAUCUCGUUUCUGAUGUAUUCAGGGACGGCCAAUAUCACUGUAGAGUCUCGAGCUAGAGCCUUCCAGAACGGAGCUAUUACCGGUAUCUACGUCUUUCACCGCUUGAAGACCCCCAAGGGCUUCGUUUCGUCCACGACAUUGAAAGUAUUAUUGACAUUGUACAAUGUGGGGGGAAAAUGGUGCAAGAAUAAAAGAUGGCGAUUUUCUUUCCAUAAAAGCUCACAUGUUUUCUCAUUCGCUUCGCGUCGACUUUGAAAAAGGUAUAAUUGAUACUCUGCGCUGGUAUUUCUCUUGUUAAUUCUGACUUUGUUUGGCCUUAGGAUGAUAGUACCAUUGCCAUCUUUCAGAAAAUAAGCAUCCCCUUUAUAAUUUUUGUGUUUUUAGAGACCUUACCAAUGGACUAGUAAGGGAAAAGCCCUUUAUACUAAUCAAAAUGGGGCUUGGCUUUUUUCGAUGGAGUCAAUCAGUUUAAUGUGGCCAUGUUUUGGCUGCACAGGGAGUAAGUAUAUAAUCCCGUUAUUCAGUUGUUCAAUAUCUAUCUAACAUACAUAAUUAUUAUACGCUCUUCCAUUUGUAAGUGGCUUAUAUUCUGAUGUAUAUACUUUUUAUGCAUUGGAAUUUGGUCAGGUUUGUAGGUAGCUUUUUAAUAUACUUUGUUCUUCAAUAUCUCAUGUAUAAAAGUGAGUUGUGUUGAUCUCCUUGAUCUUUUUCAUUUUUGUACGCCUGAUUUGCAGAUUUAAUGUUGAUGUUUAAACAUCUGAUCUAAUGUUGAAUUUUAUUUCACAACUAGGCAAGUUUUUAUGUACCCAAUUAAGUUUCCCACCCACCCACCCAUCCAUCUAUAUAUAAAUUAUAUUCAUAUUGAUUUUUUUUAAUGAAUGCGAACUUUUCUUUGUCCAGCUUACACUAGCUUCUUCUGUCCUCUCGCUCAAUGUAUUUUAGUCUAUGAUUUCUUAAUUAAUUUUUGUGUUUCUUUCUAGCUACCUAGCUAGUUGAUUUCAUGUUCGUUCUUGUUUUCUCACAUGUUUGUGACUCGUUCAAGCUUAUGGUAGAGUAUGCAUAUACAUAUACUAAUACCUU